rnacentral:rRNA from 1 species
AUUGAACGCUGGCGGCAUGCUUUACACAUGCAAGUCGAACGGCAGCGCGGGGGCAACCCUGGCGGCGAGUGGCGAACGGGUGAGUAAUGCAUCGGAACGUAUCCUGUAAUGGGGGAUAACGUAGCGAAAGUUACGCUAAUACCGCAUACGCUCGAGAGAGGAAAGUGGGGGAUCGCAAGACCUCACGUUAUAGGAGCGGCCGAUGUCCGAUUAGCUAGUUGGUGGGGUAAAGGCCUACCAAGGCGACGAUCGGUAGCUGGUCUGAGAGGAUGAUCAGCCACACUGGGACUGAGACACGGCCCAGACUCCUACGGGAGGCAGCAGUGGGGAAUUUUGGACAAUGGGCGAAAGCCUGAUCCAGCCAUGCCGCGUGCGGGAAGAAGGCCUUCGGGUUGU